GUUCUCUCUUCACAUAAACCUACUUCCCUGCACUGGGGACCGUCCCAAGUGUUGCCACUUUAUAAAAUGCAAUCCUUUUAUACUUCUGUCCUCAAAAAUAAUUCCUUGUCCUAUGUUUAUGGUCUUCAACUAUGUAUCAGUCCAAAGCUUAAACAUUACCUGAUAGUUGCAUUGAUGUAGUCCACCAUACACAAGCUUCCAAUUAAGAAGCUAAACUCCUAUGCUUAAGAACAUUAAGUCAAAAGACACAUUUGGAAACCUAGAUUGAUGUAUUUAUUAUUAGACCUUAAUACCCACCUCUGACAGUCAUUUUACUAACUCAGUGUACAGACCCCAAUGAAGGUUUCUCCUCCUCGCCCGCUGAACCCAACACUGUUUCCACCUUACUGGCUUAUUUUCUGUCAGAGGUUAAACUGCUAACCCUUCACCUUCCAGGAAAAAUUUUUUUCUUCUCAUAAUAGGUUUUUCACAGUGUGCAGCACUAGGAUUAGCUCCUCUUCUGGAGAACAAAAGCUUUGUCUUUGUCUUCAUUGUCUGGGCACGGAGCCCCUACAUCAGAGGAAGCUGCCCCUACUCAACAUGCACAAUGACGAUACUGUGAGGCCCCACAGAAGCCUGGCUUCUCAGUGUCUAGACUCUCAUCCAACCAGCCAGCCAGAGAGAAAAUCCUGUCAAGCACUCAGCUGAAAAUUAACUAAAGUAUCCUGUUGAGAACCUGAUGAAGAUGUUAUUUGACCAUAAGGUCUCAUGCUUCCUCAAAGUCAAAGUGAUCAUGAAAAUUAAACAUUUUGAAUCAAUUCAGGGAGCUGAGGCCACCAUGACAGUGCAACUAAAGACACUCCCAAAAGAGGACUUCCAGAACGGCUUCAGGAAGUGGCGAGAACAACAGGGUCACGCUGCUGGCUACACUUCCCUGCCAUCGAGAAGAAAGAAGCAGCAAACAGAAGGGCAACAGCAGCAAAGCCUGGAGACCUACAAGGAAGGGCGCUACGAUCUACAUUUUGGCCCUUCCCUCUAAACAACUGGAGUGCAAGUUACUGGAAAAUCACUUGCCAGGAAAACUUCCAUUGCAAGAUGCCACAGCCAGUCUGCCAGAUAAAACAGAACCAUUUCUACUAACACAGGGGACAUGACAGAGACACUGCCAGUCCCUCAUAGAAAUCUUUAAAUCUGUGCAAUACUACCUACGAAACUAAGUUAUUUUCCAGAGUAUUCAAAAAUGUGUUGUGUUCAGAAAUAUCAAUUUAAUGCCUAGGAAACAAGUCCAAAUAGAAAAUAGAUCAGAUAAAGAUCAUAAUUAUAC
rnacentral:lncRNA from 1 species